rnacentral:rRNA from 1 species
UUGCCCUACGAAGCAAAAUGUAGGAUAACUCCUGCCCAGUGACAUAGUUCAACGGCCGCGGUAUCCUAACCGUGCAAAGGUAGCAUAAUCACUUGCCUAUUAAUUGUAGGCUAGAAUGAAAGGAUUAACGAAAUAUAACCUGUCUCUAUAAGACAAAUAAAAAUUAAUCUCUAAUCGAAGAAUGUUAGAUAUAAUCGAAGGACAAGAAGACCCUAUAGAGCUUAAUUUAAAUAAAGAAAUAUUUCUUUUACAUAAUUCGGUUGGGGCGACCUGGGAAAUUCUUAUCCUCCCUAAAGUUUAAGAUACUUAAAUCAUAUAAUUGACCCUUAAACAAGAUCAUUAAAAUAAGCUACCUUAGGGAUAACAGGCUAAUCCCUCUAGAGAGUCCUUAUCAAUAGUGGGGGUUGGCACCUCGAUGUUGGCUUAGGGAAUCAAUGUAACGCAAAAGUUACAUAAGGAAGGUUUGUUCAACCUAUAAACCCCUACAUGAGCUGAGUUCAGACCGGCGUAAGCCAGGUUAGUUUCUAUCCUCGACAAUACAUUUCUUCUUAUAGUACGAAAGGACCUAAGUAAGAGUAAUAAUUACAUCUCUGAAUUCAUAUAAAGUAAUUUCAUCUUAAUAUUACAUAAAAUAUG